CUACGGAGGAUCCGAGCGUUAUCCGGAUUUAUUGGGUUUAAAGGGUGCGCAGGCGGGAGAUUAAGUCGGCGGUGAAAUUUUUCAGCUCAACUGUAAAAGUGCCUUCGAAACUGGUUUCCUUGAGUGUAGAUGAAGUAGGCGGAAUUUGUGGUGUAGCGGUGAAAUGCAUAGAUAUCACGAGGAACUCCGAUUGCGCAGGCAGCUUACUAAACUACUACUGACGCUCAGGCACGAAGGCGUGGGGAUCAAACAGGAUUAGAUACCCUGGUAGUCCACGCAGUAAACGAUGAUUACUAGCUGUUUGCGAUACAAUGUAAGCGGCUGAGCGAAAGCGUUAAGUAAUCCACCUGGGGAGUACGUUCGCAAGAAUGAAACUCAAAUGAAUUGACGGGG
rnacentral:rRNA from 1 species